CUCUUAGAUGUUCUGGGCUGCACGCGCGCUACAAUGGCGUUUUCAAAAAGAUUGCUAAUCCGAAAGGACCAGCGGAUCUUCGAAGUGGCGUCGUGAUCGGGACAGUUGAUUGCAAUUAUUCGACUCGAACGAGGAAUUCCUUGUAAUCGUGCGUCAUCAGCGCACGCUGAAUACGUCCCUGUUCUUUGUACACACCGCCCGUCGCUCCUACCGAUCGAGCGAUCCAAUGAAUGUUUCGGAGCGGAACUGAGAUGCUAAUGCGUCUCUUUUACGCGAAUUUGUGUGAAUUUGAUCGCUUAGAGGAAGGAGAAGUCGUAACA
rnacentral:rRNA from 1 species